rnacentral:rRNA from 1 species
GGGUAACGGGGUGUUAGGGCACGACACCGGAGAGGGAGCCUGAGAAACGGCUACCACAUCCAAGGAUGGCAGCAGGCGCGCAAAUUACCCAAUCCCGACACGGGGAGGUAGUGACAAUAAAUAACAAUACGGGGUCCUUUCGGGUUUCGUAAUUGGAAUGAGUACAAUUUAAAUCUCUUAACGAGGAACAAUUGGAGGGCAAGUCUGGUGCCAGCAGCCGCGGUAAUUCCAGCUCCAAUAGCGUAUAUUGAAGUUGUUGCAGUUAAAAAGCUCGUAGUUGAAUUUCGGGAUUAGUGCGCCGGUCGCGCCUUCGGUAUGUACUGGUGUUACUGGUUCCUACCUUCUGACGAACCGUCAUGUCAUUAAUUUGGUGUGGCGGGGAAUCAGGACUGUUACUUUGAAAAAAUUAGAGUGUUUAAAGCAGGCUCGCGCUUGAAUACAUUAGCAUGGAAUAAUGAAAUAGGACGUUCGAUCCUAUUUUGUUGGUUUCUAGGAUUGACGUAAUGAUUAAUAGGGAUAGUUGGGGGCAUUAGUAUUCAAUUGUCAGAGGUGAAAUUCUUGGAUUUAUUGAAGACUAACUACUGCGAAAGCAUUUGCCAAGGAUGUUUUCAUUAAUCAAGAACGAAAGUUAGGGGAUCGAAGACGAUCAGAUACC